rnacentral:rRNA from 1 species
GCUAGAACGAACGCUGGUAGCGUGGAUUAGGCAUGCAAGUCGAACGGGAUCGGGGAGAUAGCAAUAUCGCCCCGUGAGAGUGGCGGAAGGGCGAGGAACACGUGGGCAACCUGUCCUUGAGGUGGGGAAAACCUCUGGAAACGGAGGCUAAUACCGAAUGUGGCGCCGGGAGGCAUCUUCCGGACGCUAAAGGGGGCCGAAAGGCUCUCCCUCUUCGAGGGGCUCGCGCACCAUCAGCUUGUUGGCGGGUAACGGCCCACCAAGGCUCACGGUUAGCUGGUCUGAGAGGAUGGCCCAGCCGCACUGGGACUGAGAUACUGCCCAGACUCCUACGGGAGGCUGCAGUCGAGGAUCAUUCGCAAUGGGGGAAACCCUGACGAUGCGACGCUGCGUGGAGGAAUGAAGGCCCUCGGGUCGUAAACUCCUGUCAUGACGGAAAAGGAGAGGGGUGCCAACACCACCCUUAUUUGAUGGUACGUCAAGAGGAAGAGACGGCUAACUCUGUGCCAGCCGCCGC